CUUGGUCGCAGGCUCUGAGAUUGAUAGGGGCUGUUUAGAAGCCCAGGAGGGGUCCUGGGAUGGAGCUGCUCCUGCUCCCACCCCCAGUCUGUCUCCCAAAACAGCAUCCAGUAGAGAAGUGCUCCUGCUGGUAGUGCCUAUCCGAGUCACUGUGAGCUGUCAAAUGUCGAGGGACUUUGUGUUUCCUUUUGUUAAAUAAAAAUGCCAAAGAGUGUGUGCCAGCCCAAUCGGAAGAGUGCCAACAUGAUGCCAGACUGAAGACAGUGCCCACUUGGAAUACAUGCAGCAGCUGUUCCAGGCUACAGUAGACAAGGAAGAUUUUGGGUCACUCAUUGGGAAGAGAACUGAGGAGAGCUGUGGGAUGUUGAAGCACUCCAACCCUGGAAUUACAGGGACUGGGUGUCAAUUCCGGUUACUCACCAAUUGUUUAUUCUGACACCUCGGUCAGCUCCACUUCUGCCUUCAUCCCCGCACGCUGACUGCCCUAGCCCACUUUGUAUUGUUCCUGUGUACCUGCCUGGCCGUUUCCCAUGAGGUGACCGUGACCUCUUCUCACCCCUGCACCUAUGUCCAGCAAACUCUUCUCCAUUUCUGAUCCAGCUUCCUGCUAAUGGUCUGGAGAAGGCAAUAGAAAAAGGCCCAAGUGCUUUGGCUGCCACACCCAACUGGAAUUCACUAUGACACUUCUGACUCCUGGUUUUGGCUUGGCCCAGCUCUGGCCAUUGCAGCCAUCUAGGAAAUGAUCAACAGUGGAUGUAAGAUCUCUCUUUCCUUCUCUCUCCAUAAAGGGGUUGAAGAAGUCAUGAUAGUACCAAGAGCCAUAAUAAGACACCAUUUUUGCUGCCAUGCAGGUGACCAUUUGAAAAUUCAGUAAUUUCUUGUUGGUGAAUGUGGAGUUCC